rnacentral:rRNA from 1 species
GACGAACGCUGGCGGCGUGCUUAACACAUGCAAGUCGAACGGAAAGGCCCUGCUUUUGUGGGGUGCUCGAGUGGCGAACGGGUGAGUAACACGUGAGUAACCUGCCCUUGACUUUGGGAUAACUUCAGGAAACUGGGUCUAAUACCGGAUAGGAGCUCCUGCUGCAUGGUGGUGGUUGGAAAGUUUCGGCGGUUGGGGAUGGACUCGCGGCUUAUCAGCUGGAUGGUCGGGUAGUGGCUUACCAAGGGUUUGACGGGUAGGCGGCCUGAGAGGGUGACCGGGCACAUGAGGACUGAGAUGCGGAGCAGAAUCGUACGGGAGGCAGCAGUGGGGAAUAUUGCACAAUGGGCGGAAGCCUGAUGCAGCAACGCCGCGUGCGGGAUGACGGCCUUCGGGUUGUAAACCGCUUUCGACGGUGACGAAGCGUGAGUGACGGUAACGGGUAAAGAAGCACCGGCUAACUACGUG